UUGAUCCUGCCGGAGGCUACCGCUAUUGGAGUUCGAUUAAGCCAUGCGAGUCGAGAGUCCUCGGGACUCGGCGUACCGCUCAGUAACACGUGGGUAACCUGCCCUAUGCUGGGGAAUAACCUCGGGAAACUGAGAAUAAUGCCCCAUAGCCCACUACGCCUGGAACGGUGAGUGGGUCAAAGCUCCGGCGGCAUAGGAUGGGCCUGCGCCGUAUCAGGUUGUAGGGGGUGUAAAGUACCCUCUAGCCAUCAACGCGUACGGGUGUUGGGAGACAUUGCCCGGAGAUGGAUUCUGAGACACGAAUCCAGACCCUACGGGGUGCAGCAGGCGCGAAAACUUGGCAAUGCGAGAAAUCGUGACCANGGAACUCCAAGUGCGUAGGGUAAGACCUACGCUUUUCUUGACUCUUCAAAGGUCUUGGAAUAAGGGGUGGGUAAGGACGGUGCCAGCCGCCGCGGUAAUACCGGCGCCUCAAGUGGUAGUCGCUUUUAUUGGGCCUAAAACGUCCGUAGCCGGUCUGGUGCAUUCGUGGGUAAAUCAACCCGCUCAACGGGUUGAAUUCUGCGAGCACGGCCAGACUUGGGACCGGGAGAGGUGUGGGGUACUCUCCAGGGUAGGGGUAAAAUCCUGUCAUCCUGAGAGGACCACUGUUGCA
rnacentral:rRNA from 1 species